rnacentral:rRNA from 1 species
CCCUUAGAUGUUCUGGGCUGCACGCGUGUUACAAUCGGGAGUACAACAAGAUUGCAAAUCCUAGUGGAUGAGUGGGUCUUCGAAAUUUUCUGAAGACUGGGAUAGUUGAUUGAAAUUAUUCAACUCAAACGAGGAAUUCCUUGUAAUUGUAAUUCAUUAUAUUGUAAUGAAUACGUCCCUGCCCUUUGUACACACCGCCCGUCGCUCCUACCGAUUGAACGAUCCGGUGAAUUAUUUGGAGUAGCUCUGGAAGUUGCAGAACUUCCUAUGUCACGAAAUUUUGUAAACCUUAUCGUUUAGAGGAAGGAAAAGUCGUAACA